AACUGAAUUCUGACAAACAACAAAAACAAACAUCAGUUGAUGAAUUAAAACUUCUUCAGUGUUCAGGAAGUGUCUCAGUAAACUUUAUGUGAACGUCUUCUCAAGCACCCUCAGUGAUGCAGUGACCUCGUGCCUGACGAGCUGGUUAACUACUGUAGGUAGUGAGCUAACGGCUAACAUGCUAACCAGCUGGGAACACAGGGUGCAUUUGAAAAUUCUCACUCCGAGUGCUGGAGCUCAGUCAACCUCAAACUGGACCGAGCGCUGCUGGAAUGUACGAUUCAGUUAUCCAGAGCACCAAACUCUGAGAGCAGCAGAGCGCCGAACUGAGUGUACGUGUCAUUAGACACCGAACGCUCUGUUACGAAAAACAACAGUGCUCUCAUAUUAGUGUAGAGCAUCAGGUUGGAUUAACGAACGCACCCUUGGUGUCAGUCUGUCACAGUAGUGUUUGUGUAUCGAGGCAGAUUAAUGUCAAUAUCAUUUGUGUGAACAGAUCGACAAUCUGUGUUAAAACAACUUUGACAAAAAUAGAUUUAUGAACUAAAGUCCAGUUCAGACCAAAGAUUCACCAUCAGACGAGUUGAAACAGGAAACUACUGUGAGACCUGCGUGUUGACAGGAAGUGACCGCCAUGAGACGGCGUAUCAUCUCUAGUCAACGACUCUCUGUGCUUCUGAUCUGUAACGUUGACAGGAAGUGACCGCCAUGAGACGGCGUAUCAUCUCUAGUCAACGACUCUCUGCGCUUCUGAUCUGUAACGUCGACAGGAAGUGACCGCCAUGAGACGGCGUAUCAUCUCUAGUCAACAACUCUCUGUGCUUCGUUCUGAUUUGCAGCUUUUCAGACUUAUUUUGUGGCUGAAUAUAAUUUGUAGCUUCUUAAAAUCUGAAUGAGGAUAGUGAUAGUGAGAUACUGGCUACAGUGAUGAAAUGGUGAAAAACAAACAUCAGCUGGCUUGAGUCGAGCUCAGACCGGCCAGUUCGCACUGCUGACACUUUUAUCUGCAACGCUCUGACUCUGUUUCAUCUCGUCACUGAUCUUUGGUCUGAACUGGACUUUAAAGAACUGGUUUCCAAAUAUGAAACAGAUCUGCAAAUACAAAUUAAAACAAAUUACAAAUGACAAACUCUGAGGACAUUUAUGAAUGAAGAUGAAGAUGAACAGAACCAUCUACAGUGUAAUGUGAGAAAGACAAAGGAGCUGGUGGCUCCUGAUUGAAUCCAGGAGGUCUACAGUGUUCACAGACAAUAAACUGGACUGGUCCAAGAACACUGAAGCUCGCUACAUGAAGAGCCGGAGCCGCCUCCCACAUGUUCUCCCUGUGUCAGCGUGGGUUUCCUCCAGGUGCUCUGACAUGUUCUCCCUGUGUCAGCGUGGGUUUCCUCCAGGUGCUCUGACAUGUUCUCCCUGUGUCAGCGUGGGUUUCCUCCAGGUGCUCUGACAUGUUCUCCCUGUGUCAGCGUGGGUUUCCUCCAGGUGCUCUGACAUGUUCUCCCUGUGUCAGUGUGGGUUUCCUCCAGGUGCUCUGACAUGUUCUCCCUGUGUCAGUGUGGGUUUCCUCCAGGUGCUCUGACAUGUUCUCCCUGUGUCAGCGUGGGUUUCCUCCAGGUGCUCUGACAUGUUCUCCCUGUGUCAGCGUGGGUUUCCUCCAGGUGCUCUGACAUGUUCUCCCUGUGUCAGCGUGGGUUUCCUCCAGGUGCUCUGACAUGUUCUCCCUGUGUCAGUGUGGGUUUCCUCCAGGUGCUCUGACAUGUUCUCCCUGUGUCAGUGUGGGUUUCCUCCAGGUGCUCUGACAUGUUCUCCCUGUGUCAGUGUGGGUUUCCUCCAGGUGCUCUGACAUGUUCUCCCUGUGUCAGUGUGGGUUUCCUCCAGGUGCUCCGACAUGUUCUCCCCGUGUCAGUGUGGGUUUCCUCCAGGUGCUCCCACAUGUUCUCCCCGUGUCAGCGUGGGUUUCCUCCAGGUGCUCCCACAUGUUCUCCCCGUGUCAGUGUGGG